rnacentral:rRNA from 1 species
GACGAACGCUGGCGGCGUGCUUAACACAUGCAAGUCGAGCGAUGAAACUUCUUCGGAAGUGGAUUAGCGGCGGACGGGUGAGUAACACGUGGGCAACCUGCCUCAUAGUGGGGAAUAGCCUCUCGAAAGGGAGAUUAAUACCGCAUAAGAUUGUAGUUCCGCAUGGAACAGCAAUUAAAGGAUUUAUUCGCUAUGAGAUGGGCCCGCGGCGCAUUAGCUAGUUGGUGAGGUAAAGGCUCACCAAGGCGAUGAUACAUAGCCGACCUGAGAGGGUGAUCGGCCACAUUGGAACUGAGACACGGUCCAAACUCCUACGGGAGGCAGCAGUGGGGAAUAUCGCACAAUGGGCGAAAGCCUGAUGCAGCAACGCCGCGUGAGCGAUGAAGGCCUUCGGGUCGUAAAGCUCUGUCCUCAAGGAAGAUAAUGACGGUACUUGAGGAGGAAGCCCCGGCUAACUACGUGACAGCAGCCGCAGUAA